AUGAGCACUGCUGAGGAGUUGUACCUGGGCUGCUCCUCUACAGCUGGGGGAAAGAGAGGCAAGCGGAGGGGGCGAGGUUAAGGGGUGACGGGACUGGUGCACAACUGGUGCACAUUUUCCUUUUGCCGAAUUUCCACAGUCUCUUCUUUCUUUUCUGUUUCGCUUUAUUUAACAGAUUGCACAUUUAUGUUUUGCUCUUUUGUGGGCCACAGUGGACAUGACUCUCCAGUGCCAGUGCUAAGCACAGUGGAUACAAGAGACCUUUUGGAAACAGUAAACAGACAGUCGAGCCCUAAUCAUUGACUCUGUAUCUCAUCUCUAAGAACAUACUGAAAAAGAGGGUUGAUCAGAUCCUUCAGAGGAGGCUUUGGACUUUGGCCAGCUUGUACACACCUUUGGUUUAGCCAUUGUUCACAAAAUUCCUAUCGGAUUUCCAUUUCUCUUUUUUUUUUUCUGCUUUUAUGGUGUGCUAAGAUUGCAAGGUGAUGGUUAAAUUGCUUGUCUAACUUUAAAAUGGACUAGCAGAUAGUGAUAAAACCUCUGCUGUCUAGAAGACUACUGUAUAUGUAAACUGACAUGUGGUCAAUCUAUUCUUGAAUUUGUUUUAAAUAUCACUCUUAGCAGUUUCUCAUAAUAGCACAAUGAGAGAAAGUAGGUGCCAUCUAGGUGUUGCAGUCUUCUUGUGAAAUCACUUUUUGUCUAGCUUUUGUAAUUAAUAGCUUGCAAGAUGUGUUACAGUCAGGUAAUGUUUUUAACACCUUUUGACUGUUCUUUUCGCUUUUUGCCUUCUUGUAUGCUGUGUCUUCAAACUGUCUAGAUAUUUGUGCCUCCAUUUUGAGAGCCAUUUUAAAUACAGAGUGUUUAAAUAGAGGUUGCAGGUCUUUUCUUCUAAAGUAUGUUCAGAAACUACAUUUAGCUGGUACUUGCAUGGGUUAUUAUUAAUAAAUAUUUAAGAAACACGCAAUAGCCAUGAUCUCUAGCUUACCUGAGGUAGACACUGUAACGCACGGUUCAUUGAUUCAAAAUGGAAUACAAAACGAUUAUUAAAUCCUUUAAAAAUGUUGUAUAUCGGCUAAAAUAUGAAAUGUUUGAUUUAGAGCAUGAUCAGUGACCAGGGGAAAAUUGAAGUGUGCAAAAUAUUAUCUUAAAUAUUUGUCAUUUAGUGGCUAUAUAUUGUAUUAAUAGCAUUAUUCUCUUUAAAAAUGGGUUAACCCUCCUGUUGUCUUAAGAAACCGCAUCCUCCUUUUCAUUUGGGUCAUAUUUGACCUGUAUUGAAAACCAUUCAAAAUCCAUAAAUUCUUGAUUAGUGUACAAUUGCACUAAAGACCCCCAUUGACGAAACGUUUUAUUGUGGUCCCAAAGUGUAAUGAUGGGGGGGGGGGGGGUGAAUUAUAUGUACUGAAUUUUAAU